GCUCUCGUGGUGUAACGGUAGCACACUCGGCGCGUAUUCUAGAGGUCCAGGUUCAAGUCCCGGGGAGGGCA
rnacentral:tRNA from 1 species